UCUCGGUGAUGAAUAAAUGUUUAAGAUGACGAGUCCGAUCAUCCAUUCAAUCAUGACGACCAAUCGAGGCAUUUGUCUGAGAGAA